AUGUAUCUUUAAACUUUGAUUAAGGAACAUUGUAUUUGCUUUUGUUUUUGGCAUGAAUGUACUAAAAUGUUCCUAUUUUGAUCAAUGAAGUUUGAAUGUUUGUUAUUUAUUGUGUCUUUUUCCAUGUACCUAUUUGAUGAUAACAAAAAGGGGGAGAAGUAAAGAAAGAGUAAUAGGGGAGAAGUAAAGAUAGAGUAAAUAGAGUAACAAAAA
rnacentral:lncRNA from 1 species